CAAGGAACUAAGAGUUUAUGGGGGAUACCUUGGCAUUCAGAAGCGAUGAAGGACGUGGUUACCGACGAUACGCUUCGGGGAGCUGGAAACAAGCUAUGAUCCGGAGGUCUCCGAAUGAGGCAACUUUUUAACUACUUAUUGAAUUCAUAGAUAAGAAAGAGCGAACCUAGAGAAUUGAAACAUCUUAGUACCUAGAGGAAAAGAAAGUAAAAACGAUUCCCUGAGUAGCGGCGAGCGAAACGGGAUUAGCCUAAACUUAAUUAUAAAUUAAGGGUAGUGGGACAAUAACAAAAAAUUUAAUGGAACAAUUAGAGGAAUAAGUUUGGAAUACUUAACCAUAGGGAGUGAUAGUCUCGUACUCGAAAAUUGAACCAAUUUAAUUGUAUCCCAAGUAGCAUGGAGCACGUGAAAUUCCGUGUGAAUCUGCGAGGACCACCUCGUAAGGCUAAAUAUUCCUGAAUGACCGAUAGUGAAACAGUACCGUGAGGGAAAGGUGAAAAGAACCCCGGGAGGGGAGUGAAAAGAACAUGAAACCAUAAACUUACAAGCAGUAGGAGGACGACUAAAACGUCUGACUGCGUGCCUGUUGAAGAAUGAGCCGGCGACUUAUAGGUAGUGGCAGGUUAAGGUAGUGAAUACCGAAGCCACAGUGAAAGCGAGCCUGAAUAGGGCGUUUGUCACUAGUUAUAGACCCGAACCCGGAUGAUCUAACCAUGGGCAGGUUGAAGCUUGGGUAAUACUAAGUGGAGGACCGAACCGACUGAUGUUGAAAAAUCAGCGGAUGACUUGUGGUUAGGGGUGAAAUGCCAAUCGAAUUCGGAGCUAGCUGGUUCUCCCCGAAAUGCGUUUUGGCGCAGCGGUAGAUGUUAUAGUUUAGGGGUAAAGCACUGUUACGUAUGCGGGCUGGUAAUUCGGUACCAAAUCGUUGCAAACUAAGAAUACUAAAUGUAUAGUCUACCAGUAAGACUGUGGGGGAUAAGCUCCAUUGUCAAGAGGGAAACAGCCCAGAGCACCAGUUAAGGCCCUUAAAUAAUUACUAAGUGGUAAAGGAGGUGGGAGUGCAUAAACAAUCAGGAGGUUUGCUUAGAAGCAGCAAUCCUUUAAAGAGUGCGUAAUAGCUCACUGAUCGAGUAAACCUGCGCCGAAAAUGUAUGGGACUAAGUAAUUUGCCGAAACUGUGCGAUAUAUAUUUAUAUAUCGGUAGGGGAGCGUUCUGUUGUAGGUCGAAGUAUUAGCGUAAGCGGAUAUGGACGAAGCAGAAGUGAGAAUGUCGGC
rnacentral:rRNA from 13 species